rnacentral:rRNA from 1 species
GUGGGGAAUCUUGCGCAAUGGGCGAAAGCCUGACGCAGCCAUGCCGCGUGAAUGAUGAAGGUCUUAGGAUUGUAAAAUUCUUUCACCGGGGACGAUAAUGACGGUACCCGGAGAAGAAGCUCCGACUAACUUCGUGCCAGCAGCCGCGGUAAUACGAAGGGGGCUAGCGUUGCUCGGAAUUACUGGGCGUAAAGGGCGCGUAGGCGGACAGCUUAGUCAGAGGUGAAAGCCCAGGGCUCAACCUUGGAAUUGCCUUUGAUACUGGCUGUCUUGAGUUUGGGAGAGGUGAGUGGAACUCCGAGUGUAGAGGUGAAAUUCGUAGAUAUUCGGAAGAACACCAGUGGCGAAGGCGACUCACUGGCCCAAUACUGACGCUGAGGCGCGAAAGCGUGGGGAGCAAACAGGAUUAGAAACCCUUGUAGUCC